GACGAACGCUGGCGGCGUGCCUAAUACAUGCAAGUCGAGCGGAGGGGCGCGUAGCUUGCUGCGGUGGUGUUAGCGGCGGAAGGGGGAGUAAAACAUGGGUAAAAUCUCUCUCCGACUGGGGGAAAAUCGGGAAAAAGUAGCUCAAACAGGAGAAAUUCUGGGACUGCCUGGUGGAAAGGUGAAAGACGGUAUUGCUGCCACGUAUAGAUGGCUCCGCGCUGAAUUAGCUAGUUGGUAAGGUAACGGCUUACCAAGGCGACGAUGCAUAGCCGACCUGAGAGGGUGGUCGGCCACACUGGAACGGCUGCACGGCCCAGACUCCUACGGGAGGCAGCAGUAGUGAAUCUUCCGCAAUGGUCGGAGGCCGGACGGUGCAACGCCGCGUGAGUGAUGAUGGUCUUCGUAUCGUAAAACUCUGUUAUUAGGGAAGAACAUAUGUGUAAGUUUCUGUGCACAUCUUGACGGUACCUAAUCAGAAAGCCACGGCUAACUACGUG
rnacentral:rRNA from 1 species